CGAGGGGGAUAACCCGGGGAAACCCGGACUAAUACCGCACACUACCUUCGGGUGAAAGCGGGGGACCGUAAGGCCUCGCGCGAUUGGAUGACCCGAUGCCGGAUUAUCUUGUUGGCGGGGUAACGGCCCACCAAGGCGACUAUCUGUAGCUGGUCUGAGAGGAUGAUCAGCCACACUGGGACUGAGACACGGCCCAGACUCCUACGGGAGGCAGCAGUGGGGAAUAUUGGACAGUGGGGGCAACCCUGAUCCAGCAAUGCCGCGUGUGUGAAGAAGGCCUUCGGGUUGUAAAGCACUUUUAUCGGGAACGAAACUUUGUCGGCCAAUACCCGGAGAUACUGACGGUACCAGAGGAAUAAGCACCGUCUAACUCCGUGC
rnacentral:rRNA from 1 species